rnacentral:rRNA from 1 species
AGUGAACGCUGGCGGUAGGCCUAACACAUGCAAGUCGAACGGCAGCACAGUAAGAGCUUGCUCUUACGGGUGGCGAGUGGCGGACGGGUGAGGAAUACAUCGGAAUCUACUUUUUCGUGGGGGAUAACGUAGGGAAACUUACGCUAAUACCGCAUACGACCUACGGGUGAAAGCAGGGGAUCUUCGGACCUUGCGCGAUUGAAUGAGCCGAUGUCGGAUUAGCUAGUUGGCGGGGUAAAGGCCACCAAGGCGACGAUCCGUAGCUGGUCUGAGAGGAUGAUCAGCCACACUGGAACUGAGACACGGUCCAGACUCCUACGGGAGGCAGCAGUGGGGAAUAUUGGACAAUGGGCGCAAGCCUGAUCCAGCCAUACCGCGUGGGUGAAGAAGGCCUUCGGGUUGUAAAGCCCUUUUGUUGGGAAAGAAAAGCAGCAGGUUAAUACCCCGCUGCUCUGACGGUACCCAAAGAAUAAGCACCGGCUAACUUCGUG